AUGUUACUAUCUUAAUAAUCAACCUGGUCAAAACCUUUCAGGUUUCUUCGUUUGAGUCAGUCGCCUUGAUUCAGAAUGUCACGAGCCUUAAGAUUUCAUGCUGAGGCGCCUUGCAAAUCCGACACUUAAGAUCCUCCUAGACCUUGAGGUGAUCAGCAUAAGAGGCCAGAUCCCCUCGAGCCAUCUACACGUAGCUUCACCUUAUUCUUUAAGGGCAGAAAAUUUGAGACGGUGACCGCCGUAACAGUAAAUUUGGCUUUCAGUUGGGGCCCCCCCUCCGGUUUAGAAAGAGGAACACCAGAUUGACCACAUUCCCAGCUAGAAAAAUCUUCUUGCGUCAAUCAAGCCUCACCCUGGCUCAUUGGGCUGUCAGUUUGAUCGUCGUUAGAUUGAAGAGAACACCUAGAUGCAGCGAUCGGCUAUAGAUACUUCUAGAUCGUCUAGAUCUGCUAGACCUUGGGCCAAAGAGGGUCGACCUGCAAACUUGCAAGGUUUAUUUUAAAUACGCAUUACAGUGUUUUUUAUUCUAAUGUAAUUCUGCAAUGUAAUUCAGCUUUUAACAUUUUUCUAGGUAGUAAAAUUGCUCAAGACAAGUAGGCCCAGAGAUUUUUCCAACUCACAGAUGCUAGUUCUUUAGUUGUCUGAAAGUUUUGACUUCAGCAGGGCCUCACAUGUAGCGUGUGGCUGAAGCUGUUUUCUGAUACGUGUUUUCUCCAACCUAACCCCAGGUCCCGGUCUAGAUCCCGUUCCAGGUCCCGUGGAAGGAGGUAUUCUCGGUCACGCAGUCGAAGUCGUGGUAGGAGGUCCAGGUCUGCUUCCUAUCGUAGGUCCCGGUCUGUUUCUCCUCGUAGGUCUAGAUCUGUGUCUCCCCGACGGUCCCGAUCGGGUUCCUUGAAGAGAUCGAGGUCAAGGUCAAGAUCCAGGUCUAGAUCCAGAUCUGUUACAUGGCCCCGAAGCAGGUCUAGAUCUCAUGGCAGAUCUAAAUCCGGCUCGCCAGCUAAGAGUCGGUCAAAGUCCCGAUCACCAUCUCCAAAGAGAAGUCGUUCACCAUCAGGAAGCCCUCAAAGAAGUGCAAGUCCUGAAAGAAUGGAUUAAAGUUAUGAAUUUAACCUUGUAGGAAGAAAGUUAUUUUGCUUACAUUAUUAUAAGGGAUUUUGUGGUGUCUUUGUAAAUGUAAGAAUGUAGAUAGAAGAGUAUAUCAACUGAAAUUUGGCAUGAUCUGGGUCUUCUGAGUUAGUCGCACCAAUAGACUAGCACAGGUCUCUUUUUAUUGUAUGAAUUAACUUCCUGUGAUAUGAAAAUGUGGGACUUUUUUAUUGGCACAUUGAAAUAAAAUGUGUAUUUUUAACUAAAACUUCUCUGUAGUAACCCUGCUGCUUCUGUUAACGUUUGGGCAAUUUUAGCUGUGUGCCACGUAACAUGGAUGGAGCGUGUCCAAGUGGGAAUGACUAAUAGUAGAGUCUUCUCAGUCACUUUUCACGCUUAUUGUUGAAUGGUCUUUGGUGAAAGGAUCGGUUUCUGCUUUCUUUUAAAACGGAAUUUAAAAUCUCUCCCGUCUGCAGAUGGUUAAAAAUUUGCAUAUGCCUUUUGUAUUCCUUUACGAUCUUUAACGGGCAUUCGUUUUUCUAAUUCGUUUUUCUAAUUGUUGCUGACUCUGGUGCUUGACUAGUUGUAAUACCAAAUGCCCCCAAAUUUAACAACGAGCUUUUGUUCAAAACACAUACUUGAAGUGAGUAACAUCUGCAGAAACAUCUAAACGUUAAUAACUUGAUAAUUGCUACUUUGACUUGUUGCAUUUUUAGUUCUUUAGUUUUUUAGUGUAAUGAAAACUUCACAGUGUCUCAAGGCAUGUUCCCCUUUUUUGAGGGGCGACGUUAGGUCAUCUGACCUACUUUCUGAAGGAACUUGGGAGCGUGUGUUUGAGAGGCAAAAGAAAGUGCCGUGAGGCUUUCUGUUGUUGGCUCAGACUUUCCUCCCUCAAGUGAAAGAUCCUCACAGCUGACCUCAGGAAUGCUAGCCUGCUGCACAGAAAUUGGUACGAUUUUAAAGCAGCCCAGAUCCUCGAGACAAUUUUGUUGUAUUAAGCUAAUUUCUUACAGCAAAUACACACCUGCAGGAUUAAGGGUUUGUAUAUAGGUAUGUUACUCUGUGUUUGUCCUCAUUCUGUAGUCAAAAAUUGCAUGGUAAGGCACUUUGUUGACACAGAUCACAGCAAAAGAUGGGAAACGACGUUAGACUAUGAGCAAACAAACUGUUGGUGGAGGGGGAAAAAAGCUCAAAUAUUUUUUACUGUGAUGGGAGAGCUACCGGAAACAAAUGCUGGCUUUGGCAGAAAAGGAGAAAGUGAAGAACUAAAAAAAAAAAUCUGUCUAAAGCACUGAAAUGGGAAGUGAGGCCUCUCUGGGCUUUAAAUGAAACCUGUAAUGCUGCUUUCAAUGUGUAAACCAUAACGGAGCAUCUUAAAUGCAAGAAAACGCCAAAAUUAACCUCGGUCACACCUUUGGUAACCCAUGUUUUCCAAAGAAAAACCAUGUUGCCUGUGAAUAAUGGCUUUAUGGAGCUUCUUCGGUGUAUGAGUAAAAAGUGCAGACGCUGACAGUUCUGUCACGUCACAGCACUCUGGCCUUCACGCCUCGUCCUGGUGUUGUUUGCUUGGUGUCCGUGUGGACACCGCUGCGGUGCUUAGCGGUGGGACCUGUGUUCGUUUGCCUGGUGCAAGGACUGAUAUUCUGGCAAUAUCCCUAAAAUUCCACCAGGGGAGCGGUGGGGUGACACAAACGUUGCCCUGGAGCGAUUUAGCAGAAAUGCCCGAAGCCUGUGACUUGUGUUUGGGAUGCUUUUUGGUUGUGUAUUGCCCGCCCGGUUUAUGGCGUUACCUGGUGAGAAGCACACGUACGCUGCUGCUCUGGAAUUUGAUCAGCUUUUUUUCUCUUCUGUACUCGUAAGGCGAACCUACUCCGCAAUAAACCUGCAGACUGACA